rnacentral:tRNA from 1 species
GGGGUCGUGGCUCAGUGGUAGAGCGUUCGCUUGGCAUUCAGUUAGUCCCAGGUUCAAUCCCUGACAUCUUCA